rnacentral:rRNA from 1 species
CCUACGGGAGGCAGCAGUGGGGAAUAUUGGGCAAUGGAGGAAACUCUGACCCAGCGACGCCGCGUGCGGGAUGAAGGCCUUCGGGUUGUAAACCGCUUUCAGUAGGGAAGAAGCGAAAGUGACGGUACCUACAAAAGAAGCACCGGCUAACUAUGUGCCAGCAGCCGCGGUAAUACAUAGGGUGCAAGCGUUGUCCGGAAUUAUUGGGCGUAAAGAGCUCGUAGGUCGUUUGUUACGUCGGAUGUGAAAACCUGAGGCUCAACCUCAGGCCUGCAUUCGAUACGGGCAAACUAGAGUUUGGUAGGGGAGACUGGAAUUCCUGGUGUAGCGGUGGAAUGCGCAGAUAUCAGGAGGAACACCAAUGGCGAAGGCAGGUCUCUGGGCCAAUACUGACACUGAGGAGCGAAAGUCUGGGGAGCGAACAGGAUUAGAUACCCUGGUAGUCCAGACCGUAAACGGUGGGCACUAGUUGUGGGAACCUUCCACGGUUUCUGCGACGCAGCUAACGCAUUAAGUGCCCCGCCUGGGGAGUACGAUCGCAAGNUUAAAACCUUAAGGAAUUGACGGCUGAGAGNGCGAGCGACGACGAGGAGAG